AGAGUUUGAUUCUGGCUCAGAUUGAACGCUGGCGGUAUGCUUAACACAUGCAAGUCGAACGGCAACAGCAAGAGCUUGCUCUUGGCUGACGAGUGGCGGACGGGUGAGUAACGCGUGGGAAUCUACCCAGAAGUUCGGGACAACCUGUUGAAAAGCAGGCUAAUACCGAAUGUUGUCUACGGACUAAAGGAGGGGAUCUUCGGACCUUUCGCUUUUGGAUGAGCCCGCGUUAGAUUAGCUAGUUGGUGGGGUAAAGGCCUACCAAGGCGACGAUCUAUAGCUGGUCUGAGAGGACGAUCAGCCACACUGGGACUGAGACACGGCCCAGACUCCUACGGGAGGCAGCAGUGGGGAAUAUUGGACAAUGGGGGCAACCCUGAUCCAGCAAUACCGCGUGUGUGAAGAAGGCCCGAGGGUUGUAAAGCACUUUCAAUUGUGAAGAAAAGUUGUGGUUUAAUACGCCAUGACCUUGACGUUAACUUUAGAAGAAGCACCGGCUAACUCCGUGCCAGCAGCCGCGGUAAUACGGAGGGUGCGAGCGUUAAUCGGAAUUACUGGGCGUAAAGCGUGCGUAGGCGGUUAUUUAAGUCAGAUGUGAAAGCCCCGGGCUCAACCUGGGAACUGCAUUUGAAACUGGAUGACUCGAGUUUGGUAGAGGUGAGUAGAAUUCCUAGUGUAGCGGUGAAAUGCGUAGAUAUUAGGAGGAAUACCAGUGGCGAAGGCGGCUCACUGGACCAAAACUGACGCUGAGGCACGAAAGCGUGGGGAGCGAACGGGAUUAGAUACCCCGGUAGUCCACGCCGUAAACGAUGUCAACUAGUCGUUGGGCCUUUCGGGGCUUAGUGACGCAGCUAACGCGUGAAGUUGACCGCCUGGGGAGUACGGCCGCAAGGCUAAAACUCAAAUGAAUUGACGG
rnacentral:rRNA from 1 species